rnacentral:rRNA from 1 species
UACGUAGGGUGCGAGCGUUAAUCGGAAUUACUGGGCGUAAAGCGUGCGCAGGCGGUUCUGAAAGUCAGCUGUGAAAGCCCCGGGCUUAACCUGGGAAUUGCGGUUGAAACUACAGGGCUAGAAUCUGGCAGAGGGGGAUGGAAUUCCGCGUGUAGCAGUGAAAUGCGUAGAUAUGCGGAGGAACACCGAUGGCGAAGGCAAUCCCCUGGGCCUGCACUGACGCUCAUGCACGAAAGCGUGGGGAGCAAACAGG